AAGUCGUAACAAGGUUUCCGUAGGUGAACCUGCGGAAGGAUCAUUAAUGAAUUUAGAUUGAACCAUAGGCGAAAGCCAGUGGUUCUUCUUUCAUAUCCAUAACACCUGUGCACUGUUGGAUGCUUGCAUCCACUUUUAAACUAAACAUUAUUGUAACAAAUGUAGUCUUAUUAUAACAAAUAAAACUUUCAACAACGGAUCUCUUGGCUCUC
rnacentral:misc_RNA from 1 species